rnacentral:misc_RNA from 1 species
GAAAAACGAAAUAGUAUCAAGAAUGUGAAAACAUCUGAGCUGCCCAUCCAUAAAUCUGUCAAAUUCUUCUGUUUAUUAAUGUUUUUGAGUGUUUACCUUGAAUUUUCUAAUUAUACAUAAUCAGAGAUUAAGAUAACAUUAUUUUAUAACUAGUUUGAUCCAUGAGUCUGCUGCCACUCUACUAUUGCUAGAGUAUGCCGUCCCCCACAAGCAACAAGUUUAGCAAUCCAGUGUCCCUCAGCUUCAUUGCUACCAAGAUUUCUGGGAGGUGGGAUGUCAAUUGGCACUUCCAGUGGUUGACCAGUUGUCACCUUCCUCCCAUAUCCCAGUCGUCCGUGGUCACCUCGACCAAAUGAAAACAUUCGUCCAUCAAGUGUCAAUGCAACUGAAUGAGUCCCACCGCAGGAUACCUGAACAAUGUGUUCCCCAGCUAGAAGAUGAACCCUUUGAGGAACCAUUUUGCUGCUCUUGUCAUUAUCUCCGAAUCCAAGUCUCCCAUGUUCCCCUCUGCCCCAACCAUACACCUCUCCAUCAUCAGUUUGUGCAGUAGAAUGCCAUCCACCAGCAGCAAUAUCAACCAAAGUGAGACCAGAGAGCCCUUGGACAGGAAUAGGUUGUGAUCUGGGCUGGGUAUCACCAGUUCCAAGUUGUCCAUAUUCAUUAUUACCCCAUGCCCAUAAAGUUCCAUCUUCUUGAAGAGCUAAAUUAUGAAAUGCCCCCACUGCAAUGAGCUUCACCCUUUCAAGGCCUUGUACCCGCACAGGGACAGAUAUCUGUUUUAUGUCUCCAGGAGGCCAUGGUUGACCCCAAGUCCAUACAUGCCCUUCACGUGUAAGCACCACAGAGUGAGUACCCCCAGCAGCUACCUGGCGCACAACAAGCUUUGAUGCACAGCGCUGAGGAAUCACUAUAUCCCGUCUCAGUGGUCUUCCAGUGUCAUCUUUCCGCUCAGGUUCUUCACCACAUUGCCCAUAUUCAUUCCCACCCCAGGCGUAAGCACGGCCUUGAUCAUCAACGGCCAAGCAAUGCCACCCACCAAUCGCCGCCUGAACAAUGUUAACAUUGGCAAGAGCGUUAACCUGGCUAGGAAUGUUCUCAGUCUUGGUCAGAGGUGGGUGCCCGAGUGUCCCUCUCUGAUUCCAGCCCCAUGUAAACAGCUUGCCGUCGUCACAAAUAGCAAGAGAGUUGCGACUUCCGGCGACAACAGAGCGGAUUUUGUAGGGCUCAAGAGCAUCGACAACGCAGACCCAUUCUUUCUCCUCAUUGUUGCCGAUUCCUAAUUGGCCAUCUUCACCUGAGCCCCAGGUAAUAAUAGAGGUGUGAGCAGCCAUAGCAAAGGAAGGUUAUUGUCAGUGGUUUCUAUGAUAAAGUGGUGUUUUUGGUAGUAGACUAGCAGAAGAAGUGGCGUGACUGAUCGUGGACUUUGGAGGGUUUUUCGUAUUAGCGUAUACUAGCAGAAGAAAUGUGUUGACGAUCCUCUAUGCGGAUUGCGGAAUAUCAAAGUUAGCAGAAAGCGGGCGUCGUUGAAACGAUGGCAAUUAUUCUCUGCCGUAUGGGCUAUGGCAAUUUGGGGAUGGACAAGCUUACCCGCUCCUCCUGUCCUCUGUGUCUC